GGGCAUAUGGUGUAGGGGUUAUCACGUUCGCUUUGCAUAGGUUUGGAAUGUGUCUGCGAAAGGUCUCCGGUUCAAAUCCGGAUUUGUCCA